rnacentral:tRNA from 1 species
GCUCCAGUGGCGCAAUCGGUCAGAGUCAUUACUUAUAAGACAGUGACCUGCAGAGCGUUGCUGAGGUUGUGAGUUCGACCCUCACCUGGAGCA